rnacentral:rRNA from 1 species
AGGUAGGGACCUACCCCGAGGACAGAGAUAGCUACUGGAAACGGUAAGUACACGCUGAUAAGCCCGAGAGGGGAACGUGGAAGGCAGACUUGGGAUGGACCUACUAUCCCUCAUGUAGUUGGUGAGGUAAAGGCUUACCAAGCCGAUGACGGAUAACCGGUGUGAGAGCAUGUACGGUCACAAAGGCACUGAGACACGGGACCUACUACUACGGGAGGCAGCAGUGAGGAAUAUUGGACAAUGGGCGAAAGACUGAUCCAGAGACGCCGCGUGAAAGAAGAAGUACCUACGAGAUGUAAACUUCUGAACAUAUCGAAUAAAAGGAGUAGUGGACACACUACAGAAGAAGUUAGAUUAGGAAAAGGUCCCGGCUAAUAACGGUGCCAACACCCGCGGUAAGAAUGUGAGGGGGUCGUUCUCUCCCGUGUAUUCUCUGUGUUAAAAAGGGGACGUAGGCGGAUGAUCAAGUCAUCUGUGAAAAGAUUGCUCAACGAUUGGCUUUCGGAGGAAACUGGUCAUCUUGGGCGUAGCAGAGGUAGACGGAAUUACCUGAGUAGGGGUGAAAUCCGCAGAUACAGGUAAGAAGGCCGUUGAAGAAGUUGGUCUACUGGGCUACAGCUGACGCUGAGGUCCGAAAGCCAGGGGAGCGAACCGUAUUAGAUACCCGGGUAGUCCUGGCUGUAAACGAUGCUCACUAGGUGUAGGGAGCGAAAGACUCUCUGUGCUGAAGCGAACGCGCUAAGUGAGCCACCUGGGGAGUACGUCCGCAAGGAUGAAACUCAAAGGAAUUGACGGGGGUCCGCACAAGCGGUGGAGCAUGUGGUUUAAUUCGAAGCUAACCGAAGAACCUUAUCCAGGGAUUGACAUGUA